UUCAGUCAAGUAUUCCUCUUGUUGAUUUGUCUAGAGGUAAUAAAGAUACUCAAAAAAUGUUGACGAAAUAUUUAAC
rnacentral:tRNA from 1 species